GCAUAUCAAUAAGCGGAGGAAAAGAAACUAACAAGGAUUCCCCUAGUAACUGCGAGUGAAGCGGGAAAAGCUCAAAUUUAAAAUCUGGUAGUCUCUGGCUGCCCGAGUUGUAAUCUAGAGAAGCAUUAUCCGUGCUGGACCGUGUAUAAGUCUCCUGGAAUGGGGCGUCAUAGAGGGUGAGAAUCCCGUCUUUGACACGGACUUCUGGUGCUUUGUGAUGUGCUCUCAAAGAGUCGAGUUGUUUGGGAAUGCAGCUCUAAAUGGGUGGUAAAUUCCAUCUAAAGCUAAAUAUUGGCGAGAGACCGAUAGCGAACAAGUACCGUGAGGGAAAGAUGAAAAGAACUUUGGAAAGAGAGUUAAACAGUACGUGAAAUUGUUGAAAGGGAAACGCUUGAAGUCAGUCAUAUUGUCCAGGGAUCAACCUUGCUUUUGCUUGGCGUAUUUCCUGGUCAAUAGGUCAGCAUCAAUUUUGACCAGUGGAAAAAGGCUGGGGGAAUGUGGCAUCUUUGGAUGUGUUAUAGCCCUCUGUCAUAUACAUUGGUUGGGAUUGAGGAACUCAGCACGCCGCAAGGCCGGGUUUUAACCACGUUCGUGCUUAGGAUGCUGGCAUAAUGGCUUUAAUCGACCCGUCUUGAAACACGGACCA
rnacentral:rRNA from 1 species